rnacentral:miRNA from 10 species
CGGCCCUUCACUAGGUAGACUUG